rnacentral:lncRNA from 1 species
CACAUGUCACGGGGAGGAGGGAGGCCUCAGUCCCCGGGGUGAAGGGACACACCCACCCACCCUGGUCUCCGAAGCUCUUCCCUCUCCCCAUCUCCAGGGUGGAGAGGCAGUGAGUCGGGGAUACGAUGGCGGAAGGGGAGGCGACCUCCCUCUGGGAUUCGAAUCCAGCCCUCCCACCUGGCAGUCAUGGGACCUCCCUAAGCGGUUUAACUGCCAAGUCCCAGAUCCCAUCUGUGAAGCCAGGCACAGUCCCGCCUGGAUGCCUCCAGCCCACCUGGAGCUGUGAAUGAACCAGCACCUUUCCCGCCUCCUUCCAGCCCUCCGACCAUGGCCUCUCGCAGGACCCCUGGGAAUCACCCUCAUCUGUCACUGUUUCCCCACCGGGACCCACCACCGAGGCUACCAGGGAAAAGCCACAGGAUUUGUUUGCAUCUGGGGAGGCAGCUCCACCUUCCUGGCAUGAAUGGUCACUAAUGAUUGGACUUUGUCAGCCUGCAAGGCAGGAAGGAGAUUUACUCUCCACAGACUGGACAGUCCUUAGCUUUGUGCUUGCCACAUAAAUGGCAUUUAAUACAUGCUCCCUGGACUCAGCACCACUCCUGAAGGCCUGUAUUGUGGUCAGCAGUUAUCAUUUCUUCCACAAAUGAGCUCAUUCUUCUCCUCUCAGGAUCAACCCUUUCGCCUUCACUGAGGCAUCAGACACCAGCAUUCGGAGGGACACCCACUCCAUCCUCUUCUCUCAGCUGCCUGUGGAAAUUCCCAUCUCAAACACGUGACUCCCCACAGAGUGGCACUCACUGAUCACGGAUCUUAACUUUAAAAGGUGAAAAAUAAGUCAAGGCUUAAGGUAAAGUAACGGGAGGUGUGGAUGUCUGAGCAAUGCGGUGAACCGAGUCACGGGGCCGCGGAGAUGUUCGCAGCUGGGACUUUCCAGGCCUCCCGAACGCAGAGCGCCCGAAGCCAUCAGUGGCCACAGAGUGU